rnacentral:rRNA from 1 species
GAGUUUGAUCAUGGCUCAGGACGAACGCUGGCGGCGUGCCUAAUACAUGCAAGUCGAGCGGACCUUAAAAAGCUUGCUUUUUAAGGUUAGCGGCGGACGGGUGAGUAACACGUGGGCAACCUGCCCGUAAGACCGGGAUAACUUCGGGAAACCGGAGCUAAUACCGGAUAACACCGAGGACCGCAUGGUCCUCGGUUGAAAGGCGGCUUUGGCUGUCACUUACGGAUGGGCCCGCGGCGCAUUAGCUAGUUGGUGAGGUAACGGCUCACCAAGGCGACGAUGCGUAGCCGACCUGAGAGGGUGAUCGGCCACACUGGGACUGAGACACGGCCCAGACUCCUACGGGAGGCAGCAGUAGGGAAUCUUCCGCAAUGGACGAAAGUCUGACGGAGCAACGCCGCGUGAGCGAAGAAGGUCUUCGGAUUGUAAAGCUCUGUUGUUAGGGAAGAAGAGGUGCCGUUCGAACAGGGCGGUACCGUGACGGUACCUAACGAGAAAGCCACGGCUAACUACGUGCCAGCAGCCGCCGUAAC